GAUGAACGCUGGCGGCGUGCCUAAUACAUGCAAGUCGAGCGAACAGACGAGGAGCUUGCUCCUCUGACGUUAGCGGCGGACGGGUGAGUAACACGUGGAUAACCUACCUAUAAGACUGGGAUAACUUCGGGAAACCGGAGCUAAUACCGGAUAAUAUAUUGAACCGCAUGGUUCCAUAGUGAAAGACGGUUUUGCUGUCACUUAUAGAUGGAUCCGCGCCGCAUUAGCUAGUUGGUAAGGUAACGGCUUACCAAGGCAACGAUGCGUAUCCGACCUGAGAGGGUGAUCGGCCACACUGGAACUGAGACACGGUCCAGACUCCUACGGGAGGCAGCAGUAGGGAAUCUUCCGCAAUGGGCGAAAGCCUGACGGAGCAACGCCGCGUGAGUGAUGAAGGUCUUCGGAUCGUAAAACUCUGUUAUUAGGGAAGAACAAAUGUGUAAGUAACUAUGCACGUCUUGACGGUACCUAAUCAGAAAGCCACGGCUAACUACGUG
rnacentral:rRNA from 1 species